rnacentral:lncRNA from 1 species
AACCCGAGCCACAACAGUGACAACACCAAAUCCUUAGCUGCUUGGCCAUCAGGGAACUCCACUCUCUUCUUUUAGAUAAGAUUCAGGCAGAAUAUAGACUAGGAAAUUUUUCUCACUGACACCUGUCUGUUUUGCCCAGAGGCUGUGCCUGGCAUCUGCUCUAGGUCCCUGUGAUGGAGGGAGGCAGGGGUGGGUACCUAAGGCUGCAAUGUCCGCCCCCAGACGGCCGCCUGAGCACCCAGCUGCAUCUCAUAACAGUGAUGGUCAGAAAAUCUGUAUUUUGCCAGGUAGUGGGGGAAGGCUGUUUCCUAGCCUCUGAAACUAGGAAAUGCUGAACAGAAUGAGAGCUCUCAAAUCCCUUACUUUUUCUUGGUAGCGUUUUAUGAAAAGAUUACAUAUACACACCCACAUAAGUCAGGUGAGCUCAAGGUCACUUCGGGGUCAAGAAGGGACUCAGCUCAGUGGCGUUGGGGGCAGUGCUGCUGUUUGAUGAUGUGUUUCUAGAGCAACUGUCAGGGGCAGAAUCCUGAGUUGGCUGCUCCAUUGGCCGUUCCCUCCUUACUGGAAUUAGAACUGUGUCGAAGGCCAGGCCAACGGUAGCUGUCCCUAACCUGCACUGCAUGGUAGACAGUUGGUUGUAACCACCAGAUGCCCCCGGGGCAUGCAGUCCCAGUGACUGCGUCAUUGACUACACUAACGUGCCGGCUGGGAGAUUCGUUUGUAUGAUUGGGAAGCUUGGGCUUCGGUCAGCGCAAGGGGGUAAGUGUGUGGAGGUGGGAAGGGCCCUGGACGUGAUGUCUGCAGUGGGGAACUGAGGGGAAGUAGGCAAGCAGGUCGCCCCUAAUGACCUCAGAGGCGCCUCCAGCAUCUGGCCCCCGUGGCAGCUGUUUUGAUGCCACAUCGCCCAGCCCUCCAUUAAUGGCAGGGCCUUCAGAGGGACCUCACAGCCCACCCACCUCCCUGCAGCAGGACAAAGCUGCAGCAUUGCCAGGCUGCAGGGAGCGUCACCUAAUCCACGCUUGGUGCCCUGCGGCCGGCACCCGUCCUGGGGCUAUGCCAAAGCCGAAAAGCCAAAAGCCACUAUGGCUUGGGUCCCUCUUGCAAACUGCUCCUCCCUUCUCUGGCUCAUGAGCUCCAUGUUGGGGCCCAGAUGUUCCAGUAUCUCUGGAAGCCCCAAGUCUCCUGCUUGGUGCAACUGCUCUCUAGAUGCCCCUUCCCACCUGGCUGUUGUGCGUGCACGCCAGUGGAUUGGCUGCUUUUCCAGCUGUGUCAUCUGGCCGUUGUUGAGGGGCAGCUGGUGACAAUCUGGGAAUCUAUAGAAAGGCUUGGUUUUCAGAGUUCAUGAGGGAUCUCAACACCUUCCUCUGUCCCAUAGUUGGGAACCUUCCAAGUAACAAGAGGGAGAGGAAGUCUCCAGAGUUCUGUGGUGGAAUUUGGGAGGGAUUUUGCACGGGCUGCUUCAUGCUUACAGCAUCCCACAGCAUUUUAUCAAGAUAAAAACUAUGGGGGGUUGAUAAGUCUGUGUGGUACCCUCCCCGGAAGUUAGUAAGUAAGCACGUAAACCCCCAGCAGCCCUAGACAUGGACUCCUCUUCCACCUGAGGGCUGAGGGGUCAGCUUUUCGUGCUGGCGCAGCCUCUCCUUGCACACAGGCCGAAGCAUCGUGUGUUUCCCACCGAAAAGCUGGGAGCAUUGCCGAGGACAGCUCAGUGCAAUUUGUUGUCAGAGAACUUCCCGCGUUCAAGUUACUAGAAAAUAUUUCUCCAAGCAACUCAUUCUGAGUCAGAGCUGGCGUCUUAUUAGGAAAGAACACAUGUUGGAGGGACCUCGUUUUGCUCAUACAUGAGAGACUGUGUUUUAAACUUCUGGUAGUUAACCUGCCCGGUUUCAGCUCAGCCAGGAAAUACUGAUUAAAUGCCUCUUUGCUCCCACUCCCAUUAGGUAGGUCACCUAAGAGACGCUCACAGACUGCAUGGGUUUGUAAAACUUAAGAUACCCCAGGCUCAGGGCUUUAUUCAGAGACACUGCAUGUCACCAAAACACCAGGCACUUAUCGGGACACCUGUCUUUCAGAAUCUGUGAGCCUCCAUCUCACUAAGUCCCUUCACUCAUGUAGGAGGAGGAGUAGUCCUCCUGUGCCAGGUCUCCCGGCCCUGUCACCCGAGUCUGGCCAUGACCUACAGGACAGAGGCUGGUUUCUAGUCCUCCUGGGGAAAAAGAGAACGCUUCAUCUCAUGGUUGUUUGAACUCUAAUUUUAAAUCAUGCAUGUGUCUGUCAUUACUUUUCUGAUAUAUUAUCAACAUUUCUCAUUGAUAUGCUUGUCUGGAAUUGUAGGCGACCUCAAAGAAGGUGACAUUAUUGUCUCACUAUCUGGACUACCUCCUGCCAGUGAGGUUUACUGUGUUCUGGGAUUGGGGUGAAACAGGAUAAAGAAACCUUAUUUAUAUGUUCUGAGGAAGUCUGAAUUGCUCUGAAAGGUAUCUAAAGCUCUUUCACUUUUUUUUCUCAUUAAGUACCUCCUGACAUUCCUUUUUCCUCUUUCUUCUUUCUCCGUUUUGCUUCCCUGUUUCCUGUGCUUCUCCUCUUUUCUCCACUUCCUCAUCUCUUCUCUUUUGAAUAAUAGCUAAGACAUGCCGCCCAAAGCUCAAGACAUACCCAUUCCUCAGUUCAGUGAACAUCAUGAUACUAACAAGCACUGUCAUUGCUAGUGUUUUACUGUUUGCUGACGUUCUGCUAAAGGCUUUCAAUGUGGCAUUUAAUUACAAGUCAGUAAACUGUAUUAUUCUUAUUAUCCGUAUUUCACACAGGAGACCAUGAAACUUGCCCAGGGUCUCGUAGCUGUAAGUGAAUUGCUGCUCAGACCCAGGAUCUGACUCUGGGCGUUUAAGCCUCACGCGCACUGAGCCCUCAUUCAGGUGGUGGCACCAAGGCACACUUUGAGAAGGCAGUGAAAUGGUUAAGAGAAUGGCGUUUGGAAUUAGACUGGGUUUGAAUCUCAGCACUGAUUAGCCUUGUAACUCGGCACAAAGCAUCUCUCUCUCUGAGCCUCAAUUUCCUCACCUAUAAAACAUGAGAAGUAACAACUUACAGUGUGGCCGUGAGAUAUUGCUUGUAAAACUUUAAGCCUGGCACAUAGCAGAAGUCCAACAAAAUUGACUGGUACUGUUUUCCAGGGGUAAAAAUAGCAUUUAUCCCUCUGCUACAACUUCAUUUAGUUACAAGCAUAUUUUGAAGUAUCUUUGAAGCGUCCUCUGUAAGCCCUGGGCUUUUACAUUAGUGGGUGUAUCUAAAGAGUCCUUGAAUCCACUCAUGUCUUCACUCUGUGGUUCUAGGGUCAGUAAAGGCAGUUAAUAGUUCUGGAAUGACCUCCUUCAGUCUUUUGCCUGAUACCUGCAGCUUCAUCAAAACUUUGGAUAUUGGAGUUCCCAUCGCGGCCGAGCAGGUUAAGAACCCAACGUAUUGUCCAUGAGGAUGUGGGUUCAGUCCCUGGCCUCACUCAGUGGGUUAAGGACCUGGUGUUGUCGUGAGCCGUGGUGUAGGUCGCAGACAUGGCUCAAAUCCCAAGUUGCUGUGGCUGUGGUGUAGGCCGGUGGCUGCAGCUCCAAUUCAACCCCUAACCUGGGAACUUCCAUAUGUCACAGGUGCAGCCUAAAACAAAAACCUUUAGAUAAGAUGAAAAACUGGAGACAGGAUUAAGAUGGCAGAGUAGAAGGACUGGAGCUCAACUUCUCUCCUAAAAACAACAAAAUUCACAACUAAAGACUGAGCAAUCUCCACCCAAAUGGACCAGAAACCUUAAAAAAGAUACCCUACUCCAGAAGAAAAAGAAGAGGUAGGAGGGGCGAUUUUGUGAUAUAAACAACCCCAUACCUCCGGGGUGGGAAGCUCCACAGACUGAAAACUAACUGGUUCACAGAGACUCACCUACAGGAGUGAGAGUUCUGAGCCCCACAUCAAACCUUCACGUGCGGGGAUCUGGCACUGGGAGAAAGAGCCCCUGGAGCAUCUGGCAUUGAAGGCCAGUGGGCUUGUGCACAGGAGCUCCACAGGACUAGGGGAAACGGAGACCCCAUUCUUAAAAGGCGCACACAGACUUUCACGUGCAUUAGGUCCCGGGGCACAGCCAGGUCUCCAUAGGAAUCUGGGUCAAACCUGACUGCAGUUCUUGGAGGACCUCCUGGGAAAACAGGGGUGAACGUGGCUUGUUGUGAGGGAAGGACAUUGAAGGCAAAGUUCUUGGGAAUAUUCAGCAGCCAUGCCUUUCUCUGGAGGUGGCCAUUUUGGGAAAAUCUGGCCCCACCUGUCAGUCAGCCAGUCAGGCUGAGUAGCCCCAGGGCAAACAACAAUCCAGGUGGAUCACAGCCCCACCCCUCACUGAACAGUCUACUUAAAGGCCCCUCGGGCACACAGCUGCCUCUGAUCCCAUCCAGAGACUAAGCCCCACCCACCAGAGGGAUUAGAAUCACCCCCACCUACCAGUGGGCAGGCAUCAGCCCCUCCCAUCAGGAAGCCUACAGCAAGCCCCCAUACUGACUUCAGCCACAAAGGGGUCAGACACCAGAAGUGAGAGAGGCUACAACUCUAUUAUCUAUAAAAAGGUCACCACACCAAAAACCUGUAAAAAUGAAAAGACAGAGAAUUAUAACUCAGAUGAGGGAGAAAGAAAAAACCCCAGAAUAUCAACUAAGCAAUGAGGAGAUUCUCAGCCUCCAGGAAAAAGACUUUAGACUGUUGAUGCUGAAGAUGAUGCAAGACAUUGGAAAAGAUGGAUUACUUACAGGAAACACUGAGCAAAGAGAUACAAGAUAUAAAACUUAAACAAGCAGAGAUGCAAAAUACAAUAACUGAAAUAAAAAAUUCACUAGAAGCAGCCAACAGCAGAGUACAGGAGGCAGAAGAACAAAUAAGUGAGGUGGAGGACAGAUUAGAAGAAAUUAGGA